AUCAGAGCUCCAUUUCAACCCUGGGAAGUGAUGCAAACCAGCCAACUGUGACUUCUUUCUGGGUCUCACCAGUGUGGCGCUUGAUACUUAUCUAAGAGAUGCAUCAGCACUAGGAGAGGAAGAUGGAAAAGAAGCGAGACCUGUGGGAACUUCAGGCUGGAACUGAACAGGACUGAGAAUGGCUUUGGGAACACAGCUGCUUGCUCACUUGGCUGCCCGACACCUCAAUAGCACACACUGCAGCAAGUGUCAAUGUUACCUCCGAGUCCCCUUCUGAUCAGCAUGUUAGAAUGGGGGCUCAGCAUCUCAGAUUAUGAGCCCACUGCCAUUGAAGGUACUUUGUUAUUCGAAUUCUGGAGGAGAGGCAUGCCACCACAGGGACAACCACCAAGGAAGCACCGGCCAGUCUGGAGGCUGAAGGUACAAUCAAAAGGAAGACAGCCCCAAAUGCAACUCCUUCAACAGGACCCACCAACAGCGUUCUUCCAUUGAUAGCCAAGAUGCCCAAAGAGAAGUCUCUAGAAUGAGGGGAAGGAGGAUCAGCACUACAAAGGCAGUUUGUCAGAACAAGCAACUGACCUUCAGUAACUACACAUUCUUGUCUUUAACACUUAGCAAUCCUUUACCGGAGGCUCGCACAAGAUGGAAA